rnacentral:rRNA from 1 species
UGGGGGAUAUUGCACAAUGGGGGAAACCCUGAUGCAGCGACGCCGCGUGAGUGAAGAAGUAUUUCGGUAUGUAAAGCUCUAUCAGCAGGGAAGAAGAUGACAGUACCUGAGUAAGAAGCCCCGGCUAACUACGUGCCAGCAGCCGCGGUAAUACGUAGGGGGCAAGCGUUAUCCGGAUUUACUGGGUGUAAAGGGAGCGUAGACGGAUGGAUAAGUCUGAAGUGAAAGCCCGCGGCUCAACUGCGGGACUGCUUUGGAAACUGUGCAUCUUGAGUACGGGAGGGGCAGGCGGAAUUCCUGGUG